ACAUGCCUACAACAUGGAGUUAAUGCACUGGAUCCCAUUAAAACUCCAUAGUUAAGCAUGCUUAGGCUAGAGUAGUACUGGGAUGGGCGACCACCCUGAAAUUCCCAGUGUUUUACAUGCC
rnacentral:rRNA from 1 species